rnacentral:rRNA from 1 species
GACGAACGCUGGCGGCGUGCUUAACACAUGCAAGUCGAACGGAAAGGCCCUGCUCUUGUGGGGUGCUCGAGUGGCGAACGGGUGAGUAACACGUGAGUAACCUGCCCUUGACUUUGGGAUAACUUCAGGAAACUGGGGCUAAUACCGGAUAGGAUCUCCUGCUGCAUGGUGGGGGUUGGAAAGUUUCGGCGGUUGGGGAUGGACUCGCGGCUUAUCAGCUUGUUGGUGAGGUAGUGGCUUACCAAGGCUUUGACGGGUAGCCGGCCUGAGAGGGUGACCGGCCACAUUGGGACUAAGAUACGGCCCAGACUCCAACGGGAGGCAACAGUGGGGAAUAUUGCAGAAUGGGGGGAAGCGUGAUGCGGCAACGCCGCGUGCGGGAUGACGGCCUUCGGGUUGUGAACCGCUGUCGCCUGAGACGAAGCGUGAGUGACGGUAAUGGGUAAAGAAGCACCGGCUAACUACGUG